GGAGAGGUGACCGAGCGGCUGAAGGUGCACGCCUGGAAAGCGUGUGUGGAUUAACGUCCACCGGGGGUUCGAAUCCCCCCCUCUCCGCCA
rnacentral:tRNA from 1 species